rnacentral:rRNA from 1 species
GAUAAACGCUGGCGGCGCACAUAAGACAUGCAAGUUGAACGGACUUAAUCGAAGUAUUUAUCUUUUGAAGCGGUUAGUGGCGGACUGGUGAGUAACGCGUAAGGAACCUGCCUAUUAGAGGGGAAUAACAGUGAGAAAUCAUAGCUAAUACCGCAUAUGCCAUAGAUAUCACAUGAUAACAGUGGGAAAGGAGCAAUCCGCUAAUAGAUGGCCUUGCGUCUGAUUAGAUAGUUGGUGGGGUAACGGCCUACCAAGGCGACGAUCAGUAGCCGGACUGAGAGGUUGAGCGGCCCACUUGGGACGGAGGCACGGCUCGGACUCCUACGGGAGUCAGCAGUCGGGAAUAGUGCCAAAGGGAGGUAACUCUGACGCAGUUACGCCGCGUAUAGCAAUAUUGUUUUCGGAUUGUAAACUUUUAUCGUUAGGUAAGCGAAUUGACAGUACCUAAGGAGGAAGCUCCGGCUAACUACGUG